UGGGACACGGGUGCCUGGCCAUGCUUCGUAUCGGUUGAUCUAGCAGCUAGAGCAUGUUUGCAAAGCCUGCCCUGUGAGAAUGAUAAAUUGAAGUGAUACAUGUGUGAUCUCACCUGUACGGCUCAGGAGUUCCCUGGUAAGACAUUCAGUUCGUUCUUCAGUUACUGGCACCUCCAGGGAAAAUGUACAAAACAAUCUUGAAGUGCUACUCCAAUAUGUUCUCCACUAACUCUUCAAUGGUUGAAGAAACUAGCUCUGGAGAGAAAACACCAGAAAGUCAUCAAUCAGGCUGCUGGAAAAGGAAACCCGACUGAAGUCUGAAGCUCUGGAUGAGCAUAACCUGGAAAUCUGCCUGUCUGCCCACGUAAGCCAAACCUGAAGAUCUCAGUCUGGAUUCCUCCGUCAGUUCUCUGGGAAGAGCUAGGAAAUAAACCCAAGUCCGAAAACCCUCUGGCUUGAAGCUAGACGCUGCUGCUGCUGAGCUCUCUGCUACUUCCACAGUCUCUGGACCCAACCGAUUCCCCCUCUCAAAGGAUCUGUUAGAACCUCUUCUAGGUACGAUCAGAAUUCAACUCACUCGUCAAGCCAUAACCACCUGGCUAACCAAACUCUCAUCUCUCCAGAUAUAAGAGUAACCAGUCCCGGACCUGCACCAGAACCAGUUCCUGAUUAACUCUGUGUAUGUUUCCCAAAUAAACAUUGUUAAACUUUCCUCUGUCUCCGUUAGUGUUCUGCAUGUGGGUUUUCGUUCAUUAAACCA